AUGUUCAUAAGAAACAGUCAAAAGCCUCAUAUCCUUUUGUUUCACAACAAAAAAAUCAGUAUUAAAAUGUUUAAUCAUGGGUCUGUUUUUCUUUACUACAAAUCUAAAACAAAUGCACAAAAACGGACUUGUUUGGUUCACAGUAAAUGUAAAUCAGAAAAGCAAUCUAGUUCAAGCCCAAUAACAGAUAACAGAAUCGCAUCAUUACAAAUCAUAGUUCCAGCCCAACAACAAAUCACUGCAGUAAAGCUUAAGUUAUAA